rnacentral:lncRNA from 1 species
AGUUAUUCCUAAUUUUGAUAAAUUAAUUGUCUCCCUGUAGAGUGAUUGAUUACAGGAGAUGCUGAAAAACACAUUUGCACAUUUGAGAGUGCCUCAAAUUAAUUAAUUAUUCCACUUGAGUUACAAGUUAGUGAGCAGGAUGAAGAAAAUGCCUUUGGAAUAACUGUUUGAAGUUCCCUUGUUUUUAGAUAGGCAGCUAACAAUUUACCGCUCCCUCCUUUUCACUUGUUUCAUUUGAACAAAACUUGAAGCUUAACAAAGUUUUCAAAGUUUGUUAAAAUAAAGUUUCUCAGGGAGGAGAACCUCAAUCAUCCCUUCUAGUUUGAUGCCAGGGCCAGCAUGAGAUGCCUAGAUCCUGGAGAGGGAUCACAGCUCAUCAGGAGAGCGCCUGAAGGGCAGCACAAAGGAAUUCCUGCCACCCCAGCCAGUGGCACCCCAUCUUUAUCAGGGGGCCCAGCUUAAAUACCUCUGCUCAAACACACAGCAUGGGGACUAAAUGAGAGAGGUUAGGGUUGUAUGUGUGUCUGCAGAGCUACAGCCUUAUCAGCAUCAUGGAGACGUGGCUCCCGUGAGGGGUGUUGGAAUGGAAGGAUACAGCUCUUCAGGAGGGACAGGCAGGGGACAUGAAGGACGUGGUGCUGCUCUCUAUGUCAGUGACCAGCUGGCAAGGGAGGGGAUUCUGCCUGACUGCUACACUCUGACAGAGGUGGCUUCCUUCCUUGUAAGUCGUUCCAGAAGCUAUGCAGGGCUCAUUACCAUGGGGCCAGCAUGGAUCUUCCAAUCUCCCCUAGACCUUCCAUGGGGCUACCUUGAGAAGACUGCAGCGCAGUCCCCUGUGCUUUCCCUUUCAGAAAAGCCACCGAGAUGCUCCGAGGCACUGAGGGUUCAGGGCAGGAGGUACCUCUAGUCUGUCAUAGUUGAUGUGGCAUUCAGACCCAUUGGGCCAUGUGAAUCCACGAUGAAGCACUGCAGAGCAGCUUUGGAAACUCUCCCUCAGCCCCUCCAUGUGCCCUGAUAGUUUGCUCUCCAGUUCCCAUGCCAGGGCAAUGCCUCCUGGCCAGAAUAUUAAGCCUUGCAGAUUUGUUAAAUAUCUGUGGGGUGAGGAU